rnacentral:rRNA from 1 species
UACGUAGGGUGCAAGCGUUAAUCGGAAUUACUGGGCGUAAAGCGUGCGCAGGCGGUUUUGUAAGUCUGACGUGAAAUCCCCGGGCUUAACCUGGGAAUUGCGUUGGAGACUGCAAGGCUGGAGUCUGGCAGAGGGGGGGUAGAAUUCCACGUGUAGCAGUGAAAUGCGUAGAGAUGUGGAGGAACACCGAUGGCGAAGGCAGCCCCCUGGGGUCAAGACUGACGCUCAUGC